AAUCGGGUCUUAUGCAAUGGAAAUCUACGAACCGUGUCAGGUCGGGAACGAAGCAGCACUAAGUAGAACCUUUCAUGUGUUGUAAGGUUGCCUUAUUCUG
rfam:Butyrivibrio proteoclasticus strain P18 genome assembly, contig: Ga0066879_113